rnacentral:rRNA from 1 species
GAACGCGAAGAACCUUACCUGGUCUUGACAUGUACGGAAUCCUCCAGAAGACGGAGGAGUGCCUUCGGGAACCGUAACACAGGUGCUGCAUGGCUGUCGUCAGCUCGUGUCGUGAGAUGUUGGGUUAAGUCCCGCAACGAGCGCAACCCUUGUCAUUAGUUGCCAUCAUUUAGUUGGGCACUCUAAUGAGACUGCCGGUGACAAGCCGGAGGAAGGUGGGGAUGACGUCAAGUCCUCAUGGCCCUUAUGACCAGGGCUUCACACGUCAUACAAUGGUCGGUACAGAGGGUAGCCAAGCCGCGAGGUGGAGCCAAUCUCACAAAACCGAUCGUAGUCCGGAUUGCACUCUGCAACUCGAGUGCAUGAAGUCGGAAUCGCUAGUAAUCGCAGGUCAGCAUACUGCGGUGAAUACGUUCCCGGGUCUUGUACACACC